GAUGAACGCUGGCGGCGUGCUUAACACAUGCAAGUCGAACGAAGCAAUUUAACGGAAGUUUUCGGAUGGAAGUUAAAUUGACUGAGUGGCGGACGGGUGAGUAACGCGUGGGUAACCUGCCUCAUACAGGGGGAUAACAGUUAGAAAUGACUGCUAAUACCGCAUAAGCGCACAGUAUCGCAUGAUACAGUGUGAAAAACUCCGGUGGUAUGAGAUGGACCCGCGUCUGAUUAGCUAGUUGGUGGGGUAACGGCCUACCAAGGCGACGAUCAGUAGCCGACCUGAGAGGGUGACCGGCCACAUUGGGACUGAGACACGGCCCAAACUCCUACGGGAGCAGCAGUGGGGAAUAUUGCACAUGGCGAAAGCCUGAUGCAGCGACGCCGCGUCGAGCG
rnacentral:rRNA from 1 species